GUUUUGGUGACACGUAUACAUUCGCGCGUCACCGACCUUUCCUCCAUUCCGUUCGGUCGCGAGCCCUUGACUUGUGCGUCAGCAGCUGGAAGCUGCCGCAGUGGAAGAACGCCGUGGCACUCCUCUUCCAUGAUUUUUGGCCACAGCUUCACGCCGAGAUCCAUCCUGCCGUGAUUUUUGGCUACGGUUUCGCGGCGAAAUCCAUCCUGCCGUGAUUUUUGGCCACGGCUUCGCGGCGAAAUCCAUCCUGCGCGACAGGCAGUGUAACUGCGGGGAGGUGACAGAAACGGGCACAAAAGCGAUGACAUCUCAGGAUUACAACGGAAAACCAGCCCACCUGACCACGUGCGCAAAGCGAUAAUUGGGAAAAGGUUGAACGAUGAAGAAGCUUUCUCCGGCGCAAGAAUCCUGGAUACUGCACCAUAACGAUGCAAAUAUAUGCCUUUUGCUGCAGAAAAUGCCUCCAGAGACGCGUGAGGUGACGUCGCUUACGACCACAAGCAACGUUUCACACUCAAGCUUUCCCCCCAUCCCCAACACCCGCUCCCAAUCAACCUUUCGUCCUUCAUUGAUGGAGAAAAAAAGAACUGCGAUUCGCGAUGUUCUGUCCAAAGUGACACGUUACAGCUGUGUGCGUGUGGUGUGCGUGUGUGUUUUAAUUCGCUUCACAACGGCAGUGUGUGACUCUUGACGGAGGGGAUGAAGACUGGACGAGAUAAGUAUUACAGGUUCUGGACAUUCUUUGGACGUCGGCCUCUUCUCUUGCGAACGCAUAAAGGUCAGUGUCAUGUAACCCCAUUUCUUACAGAA